GAAAGAGCUUCUGCCCUGAGACUCAGAAAAAUAUUCUCCUGUGCUUUGGUUCAGUAUAGAUUUCUAAACCCUGAUCAUUGCUUAAGAGAUAUUCACUGAGGGUCCUACGUCUCUGCAAUUUGUGUAUGAAUAACAGAAUAAUUUCCCUCUUUUGUUUCGCCUUUCCUGUUCCUGAAUCUAAAUAAAGAUGGCUUUUUAGUAUUAAAAGUGGAAGAAAAUUACAGGUAAUUAUCUUUGACGGUAAAAACGCUGUAAUCAGCGGGCUACAUGAAAAAUUACUCUAAUUAUGGCUGCAUUUAAGAGAAUGGAAAAAAACCUUCUUGUGGAUAAAAACCUUAAAUUGUCCCCAAUGUCUGCUUCAAAUUGGAUGGCACUGCAGCUGGAGGCUUUGUUCAGAAUUGAUCCUGGGGAGCUACGAACCCAAAGUUUCACAGUAGGAAGGGGGAAAAAAGAAAAGAAAACAUUUUUCCUAAUGUAACAAUGCGAAUGCUAGAAAAUGACAAGACUGAUCGGUUUUAAACCAUUCUGAAGACUGACUGAGCGUGGAAGUUGCUCAACAAAAAAAGGAACGGGUAUAUUGUUGCUGAGACAAAGGAAAACCCACUCCCUUGGAGGAGCAUGACCUUUUCCUGUAAUUCUUCCCACUGCUGUUGUUGAGCUCCUUGGAUCCUGGCUCCUGGACACCAUCAUCAAGAAGACUUUAUGGAUGGGCUGUCCACCCACUGAGAGAAGAGGAGCAUCAGCUACAGUUUCUCUCUAGAUUGCCUUCUUCAUUUUGAGUAAUGACUGUCAGCAGGGUCAGAUUAAACACAAAACAACUGGACAAUUGCUUGGAGGACUAAACUAUAAGGGCACUAACAUGUCAAUAGUAGGCUAACACAUCCAUGGAAAAUAUAUUUACCAGCUCUUCUCUCAGGGAGGAUUCUGUGUGGGGUUGGAAGUAAUGAUUUGUUAAAUUCCUUAGGGGUAGAAAGUAGGGCAUAAUCAGAAUAUAGAGGAAUAUGCUGUUUGACUUCAGGGUUUCUGUUUUUCUUACUAGGAUAUAUAAAACAGGGACUCUAGCUAGAUUGUUUAUGACCACAGAGGGUAGGCUGAGUGCUCCCAUGAUCUUCCUGCUUGGUUCUUGCCCAUACAGAGGUCAGCCUUUCCUCUAAUAAAGAUUGAACAAGUAGUGGUCUGAGGGAGACACCAAUUCAUUACCCUACAUGUCUCUUCUCUGCACUCCAGGGCUUUGAUAAUAAAGACACUGGCAGACUAUCUAUCUUCCAUUUCUAUAAUGUGAGCCCUUAGGGAGUCUUCGUUCACUUGGGGGUGAGGGUCAUUGCUCACAGAGUAGUUCAAGUCAAAUGGAACUUGAACUCUUUGCCUAUGGGCCUGGUGGUCAGACUCUGUGUUGAGUUCAUUAGAUUAUUGGAGACACAAGGUAGAGCUGGAUGCUUCAAAAAUAUUUGGCUAAAGGAUGACAUUGCUGGUUAUUUGUAGAUAAAGCCAUGAUGGAACCUGCUUGGAAUCAUGAAAUAUGGAACUGGUGGUCAUGUUUAAAAAUACAACUAAUAGUUAAGUACCUACUGGACACUGUAGAGACUUAGGGGCUAGACAGACAUGGUUCCUGCCCCCUUGGAGCUUACACUGUAGCUUCCCCUUAGGUAUGAAGAACAGUGGCUACAACUAACAAAUGGCCACAAAGAUAUAAUUGAGCCAGUGUUCCAAUUAUUAGGGUAAUUCCUAUUUCCUUAAUCAUUCCUAUUGACCAUGUUCUAUAAGCCUGCAUUCUAUAAAUGGCGUAUGACCAUGGGCUGUUUCCCCCCAGCAAGUUGUACAAAGUUCUGUGGUACCAGGGAAAGGGCUUAAGGUUAGCAGGGCCUCUGCGGAAGGACAUAUGAAGUGACUUGGGUUAGGAAACAGGAAGGGAUAGGAUUCAAGAACAGCUAUUGCUUCUGUUCUAUAUAGGAAACUGCAGCGUGAAAAAUGCUGGGCUGGGAAUUUUGAGACCUGGGUUUUAGUUUGUGUUCUAAUACUAACAAGCUAUGUGACUGUGGGUAAGUCAUUUCACAUUCCAUUUGGAUGCCUCUUGAGUGACUCCAGGCCUCUCCAGCUCUAAAACAUUAAGAUCAGGCCCUACGCUACAGCUGGCCAGUGUGUAAUUCUUCUGUUUCUAUGCUGUUAGGUCAAAUAGAUCUUCAAUAGUUACUUGAUUGUUAUUACUUUUUUCUGAAGUGGGUGUUUUAUCAAUGUUUUAGGAUACAGUGAGUCUGCUUCUCCCCUUUGGAGUUAGGAAGGUUGUAGGAAUAUACACUGUAGAGCAUAUGGGAGCUUUAUCCCCUCCUUUUUUCCCCGCUACCUUUCUCCCUCUCCUUCCCUUCAUCACAUUUCUAUUGAGCAUAUGCCAUUGCCGUGUACCAGGUGUGUGCUAGGUUUGGAGAUACAAGGUAAACCUGAGACUUUCCCAGUCUCCAGGAGACAAAACCCUAAUUUCUUUCAUCUGCUGUCUUUCUCUUUGGAAAGAAUCAACGAUAUCCCAGGGGAAUGUGCCCAUGUCCCAGGGUAACCAACUACAGACAGAUGCCCCAUUCUACUCAAGCAACUUUUAGAGUGCCUUGAGAUACACAUCAGAUAAUUAUGCAGGGCCAGGCAUGGUGCUGCACACUUGUAAUCACAGCACUUUGGGAGGCCGAGGCAGCAGAUUGCUUGAGCCCAGGAAUUCAAGUGUAGCCUAGGGAACAUGGCAAAACCCCAGCUCUACAAAAAAAUACACAAAUUAGCUGCGUGUGGUGGCCUAUGACAGGAGGCUGAGAUGGGAGGAUUGCUUGAGCCUGUGAGGUCGAGGCUGCAGUGAGCCGAGAUCAUGCCAUUACUCCAGCCUGGGUGACAUAGGGAGACCCUGUCUUGAAAAAAAAAAAAAAAAGAUAAUUAUUCAGCCCUAGAGUCAUUGUGAAAAGAUCUAUCUUCAGAUAUAAGGAAGAAACAAUCUUUUAUUUCUUAGGAUAAAUCUGUAGAAGGACCUCCAGACAGUGAAGGCCACUGACUACUUUAUACUCUGUAAGCCAUCCCUCCCUGGUAGGAAGGACUAUUUCCAAUCUUACAGAGUACCUCUCAGCAAAUAGACGUUUUCACAUAUACUGUGAUUCAUACAUCCCUAUGGCUGGUGACCUCUUUAAAAAGGAAAGGAAAAAGCCUAAUCAAACAAAAAGAUGCUGCUAGUAAUUCUUACCCUAUUGUGAAUCCUAUAUAAGCAAAUUUGUAUCUUUGUUUUUUCCUACAUUAGCAGAUCUAUUUGAUGUAUAUCUCUGAGUGCAGAAAAUAUUUUAUGGAAAAAUCAAUAUAUGGAAUUUCAAAUUCAGAAUUGCUGAUACACACUAUUUGGUUUCACAAUUUUAUCCUAGGAAAUAGUAUUAGAGAUUUCAAUUUCUGGCUUAAAUGGUAGAAUUAAUUACUCUUAACUCUUAAUUUUACUUCUGAGUUGAGGUCAAGGAACAGGCAGACACCUGCAGUUAACGUCUAUACCUCUCCAUGGCCAAGAGUUUUAAUUUUCUCGUCUUCAAUUUUGUAGAUGUUCAUCAUUACUAAAUGGAUUGAUUAGUAUUUUAUCUCCUCUCCUUGUCCUUACUUUCCCUCUGGUAAAUAUGUUAUAAACAGUGUAAGGCUCCUAAGAUAGAGUAGCUGGUAGGACUUAGAAGAGAAACAAAGGGCACUGAUAACUCACAUAAAUGGAAAAUUGGCUCUGGAAUAACUGACAACAUAUUCAAGUAUUUUAGUGCAGUGUCACUCUCAUUAAGAAGAAGAGAAUCAGUAAAUCUAUGUGACUCUAAACAUUCUAAUGAAAAAAGGAAUAUUCUGCCAAUUAUCUCACAUUUCUAAAUAUCUGGAUAUUGGCCAUUGUAAAGACAAAACAUACAGAUGAUGGACUUGUCUUUCCACCUCUCAUUUGCAUGGUUUGGAGCAUUGUACCUCCAGCCAUAGACUCUAAGGCAAUUUAUAUUUGCUUCCUCUUCCCU
ensembl:lncRNA DLX6-AS1 DLX6 antisense RNA 1